rnacentral:lncRNA from 13 species
AUGCCUCGCUGUAUGUCUCUCUCAAGUGUCAAUAUGCCUUCUAUACUGUUGUUCAGGUUAGUUAUCAUUGUUUUAGUUCACAAUGGAGCCCCUAGUUCCACUCUUCAUACCCCUGAUAACUCCUUUGUCCCACCUCCCACACAUGCGGUGACCUCACCCAUUACAACCAGCAUGUCCAGAGAUACAACCUCUCUCAUCAUCACCCAGUGCCUGGGCUUACCUCCGCUGUACCCGCACCCCACCAUACCCCUGUCUGCGCAUUAUGCCCUGAAUAUAUUCUACCAUGCCCAGAAACCUGCUCCUCUUAUUCUCUGUCUCCAACGCUCUAGGCGACCAGUUUUGAUAGCCUUUAGCCGCACUCUCAUACUACUCCUUCUCUGUUCCGCGGGUGAUGUGGAGGUAAACCCAGGCCCUGCAUGUCCCCAGGCACCCUCAUUUGUUGACUUCUGUGAUCGAAAAAGCCUUGGUUUCAUGCAUGUCAACAUCAGAAGCCUCCUCCCUAAGUUUGUUUUACUCACUGCUCUAGCACACUCUGCUAACCCUGAUGUCCUUGCUGUGUCUGAAUCCUGGCUCAGGAAGGCCACCAAAAAUUCAGAGAUCUCCAUACCCAACUAUAACAUCUUCCGUCAAGAUAGAACUGCCAAAGGGGGAGGAGUUGCAGUCUACUGCAGAGAUAGCCUGCAAAGUAAUGUCAUACUUUCCAGGUCCAUACCCAAACAGUUCGAACUACUAAUUUUGAAAAUUACUCUCUCCAGAAAUAAGUCUCUCACUGUUGCCGCCUGCUACCGACCUCCCUCAGCUCCCAGCUGUGCCCUGGACACCAUUUGUGAAUUGAUCGCCCCCCAUCUAGCUUCAGAGUUUGUUCUGUUAGGUGACCUAAACUGGGAUAUGCUUAACACCCCGGCAGUCCUACAAUCUAAGCUAGAUGCCCUCAAUCUCACACAAAUCAUCAAGGAACCCACCAGGUACAACCCUAACUCUGUAAACAAGGGCACCCUCAUAGACGUCAUCCUGACCAACUGGCCCUCCAAAUACACCUCCGCUGUC